GCUACAGGGCUCCCUACACCCAGACACCCUGCUCCUGUCCGCAGUCAGAACCAAACGGGCUUCCUUCCAGCGCUGCUUGUGGGGCAGCUGGGCCUUCUGCUCCCGCUGCGUGUGAUUACCUGCGGAUAAGAGGGACGCUUCUACCAUUAGCAGAGGGGGACGUUGCCAGGAGGAGCGAUUUCAGGGAGUCAUUUUAAGAUGGAAGAGACGUUCUCUGAAGAUGAAGACCACUGCGGUUUGCCUUGGUAUGGGACAUGUCACUCCUGCAGAGAGCCUGUGUAUGUUAAGACAGACUGGAAGAUGAUGAAGCGUUAUACAGAAUUUCGAUAAGCACACUAUCUGUGGCAGUAUUUUAAGCACUGUACCUUGUGUAACCUAAAUAAAAUUCAUGACAAAGAGCAUUCAGUGGGUCACCCUCAGGGAUGCACAGCCAUUCACGUGUUCAAACAAAUACAAUGGCGAAUGUGGCGAUUUAGGACAUUUAUAUUACAAAGCAACUUCUCCCACAGUUUGCUGAUGCACAGACUACCUGACAGCCAGCAGGGUCGUCUGCUUCCUCAGCAUUUGCUGUUGAAACUGGCUAGAACAGCAGUUAGUUGCCACAAGUGCUAGAGUUUUCUUGAAUCAUGAAUGCUUAAAUGAA